rnacentral:rRNA from 1 species
UACGAAGGGGCUAGCGUUGUUCGGAAUCACUGGGCGUAAAGCGCACGUAGGCGGAUUUUUAAGUCAGGGGUGAAAUCCCGAGGCUCAACCUCGGAACUGCCUUUGAUACUGGAGAUCUUGAGUCCGGAAGAGGUAAGUGGAACUGCGAGUGUAGAGGUGAAAUUCGUAGAUAUUCGCAAGAACACCAGUGGCGAAGGCGGCUUACUGGUCCGGAACUGACGCUGAGGUGCGAAAGCGGUGGGAGCGAACGAGG